rnacentral:rRNA from 1 species
GUGGGGAAUUUUGGACAAUGGGCGCAAGCCUGAUCCAGCAAUGCCGCGUGCAGGAAGAAGGCCUUCGGGUUGUAAACUGCUUUUGUACGGAACGAAAAGGCUCUGGUUAAUACCUGGGGCUCAUGACGGUACCGUAAGAAUAAGCACCGGCUAACUACGUGCCAGCAGCCGCGGUAAUACGUAGGGUGCAAGCGUUAAUCGGAAUUACUGGGCGUAAAGCGUGCGCAGGCGGUUUUGUAAGACAGACGUGAAAUCCCCGGGCUCAACCUGGGAAUGGCGUUUGUGACUGCAAAGCUGGAGUGCGGCAGAGGGGGAUGGAAUUCCGCGUGUAGCAGUGAAAUGCGUAGAUAUGCGGAGGAACACCGAUGGCGAAGGCAAUCCCCUGGGCCUGCACUGACGCUCAUGCACGAAAGCGUGGGGAGCAAACAGGAUUAGAAACCCGAGUAGUCC